AGGAUUAUAUGUCAAAGGAAGUAUUGACAGUUUACACAAUUGAGAUCUGCACUACAAAGUGAGUAGUGAGUCAUCCUGACCCUUUACAAGAUUAAGAAGGAAUGUUAUCUCCUAAGGGGGUCUGGUCAAUGCAGAUGCACAACUCACAUGAAAAGUGAGGGAGGAGACCCAAACAGGCAAAGAAAAACCUUGUUUAAAUUUUUCUUGUCUUGCUAUAAAAUACAAGUUUUAUUCAUCAGAGGUGAUAAUAAUGACUAACAUUUGUUGUAUAGUAGACUAAGCAGAUAUAUGCCUCAUUUCUGCAUUUUCAGAAUCUCUAGAAAGUAAGUCUUCUUGACAGACAUCCAUUUUAGAGAUGAAGAAAUUGAAGCCUAACUGUUGAGGUGCCAUCUCUGAAAACCAGUGCUCUGCCCAGAGCCCCAGCAGCCAGAGUAUGCCACUGAACCCACACAGCAGGGUGAAUACUGAACCAAGGAUGCAGUUCAGAGGUCAGGAUGGGAAGAUGUGCCUGGGCUUCCACAGUGCCUCUGUGAAAGAAAAACUGAGACAAAAAAGAAAAACUGAGACGUUUCCUCCAAGACGUUCCUGCUCUCAGAAGGGGAAGGAGAGGAUGAUAACUCCCAUCUCCAGGUCUGUUUUUGAGACCAUUCUGAGAUUUGCAGUUUGUGAAGCAUAUGGAAGGACUUUGCAAAGUGCAGACAGUGGACGUGGGAACUCUUCAUCUUCCGGGUAGACCUGUGCUCCUUUAGAAGGAACGUCAAGAGGAUGGCAAACCACUGGUACAAAGACCCUCAUUCUCUCAAAUAUCGACAUGGGCUCAAUUUACAAGCGGAUUAAAACGUUAAGAGAAAAUAAAGAGGAAUAUAAUUAUUAACUGUGUGCCA
rnacentral:lncRNA from 1 species